rnacentral:rRNA from 1 species
UUACUCUUAACGGAGGCAGCAGUGGGGAAUAUUGCACAAUGGGCGGAAGCCUGAUGCAGCGACGCCGCGUGAGGGAUGACGGCCUUCGGGUUGUAAACCUCUUUCAGUAGGGAAGAAGCGAAAGUGACGGUACCUGCAGAAGAAGCGCCGGCUAACUACGUGCCAGCAGCCGCGGUAAUACGUAGGGCGCAAGCGUUAUCCGGAAUUAUUGGGCGUAAAGAGCUCGUAGGCGGUUUGUCGCGUCUGCCGUGAAAGUCCGGGGCUCAACUCCGGAUCUGCGGUGGGUACGGGCAGACUAGAGUGAUGUAGGGGAGACUGGAAUUCCUGGUGUAGCGGUGAAAUGCGCAGAUAUCAGGAGGAACACCGAUGGCGAAGGCAGGUCUCUGGGCAUUAACUGACGCUGAGGAGCGAAAGCAUGGGGAGCGAACAGGAUUAGAUACCCUGGUAGUCCAUGCCGUAAACGUUGGGCACUAGGUGUGGGGGACAUUCCACGUUUUCCGCGCCGUAGCUAACGCAUUAAGUGCCCCGCCUGGGGAGUACGGCCGCAAGGCUAAAACUCAAAGGAAUUGACGGGGGCCCGCACAAGCGGCGGAGCAUGCGGAUUAAUUCGAUGCAACGCGAAGAACCUUACCAAGGCUUGACAUGAACCGGUAAGACCUGAAACCACGCCCCCCCCA